UGACCACAAAACAAUCGCACAAAGUCACUUUACCACACCGCUGAGAGAAGUAUAAUGGCUUUGUCUUAGAAUUGUUUAGUUUCUGAGGAGAAAGGAAAACGUGCGGAAGUCUACAUACUAUGGGGUCUAUGUAUUUAGGAAGGAAGGAAGCAAGCAAACGCACCUAUAGUACUUAUCAAAAUAACCUUUGUAUUGUAUGAAGAGGUGCUAGAUGGACAUGUUGAAGCAGAGCAGUGCCUUGGAAAUUUCCUAAAAACGAUAAUUGAACGAUGCGGAGGAUAACAUUCAAAAAUAAAAUCAAGAAAUAAAUUUACAUUUACUGUUACCUGAAAGUUUUUGAACAUUUGGGAAUUGCUUGGCCAUUACUACAUAAUACGCCAGCCAAAUAAAGCUACUGGAAUUUUGAAGUAAAUAGUCCAUUUGUCGCAAAAACUCACUGGCUCGUGUCGUUUUCAAUGACUGUUUGUUUAACAAUGCUUUAUUUAUAUUACUAUAUAAGUUUGACAGCUUUUAUGAGUCCAGGAAUAGCAGCAAUUCAUUUAUAAUUUUACCUUCUGGAUCAGGAUAGGAGUUACUCAUAUUACGAAUACUUAAAUAAUAUACCACAUGAAGAAAUU